AGGGGGGCAUCACCAUGGACGGU
rnacentral:miRNA from 14 species